UGAGUUACUAAAGGUAUGCGGAACUUUUCAUUUUUCAAAUUGUCGCAAUCGAAAUACAUUGUUAUGGUUUUUUUUCAUUCAGGGAAAUUCAAACAAAAAUCUUAACAUUUUUCACCAGUUAAGGAAAACUAUUUUGCUGCAAAUUUUUGUAUAAAAAUCAUUAUUUAUUGAUCUUAUUUAUGUUGAGUCAAAAGAAAACUGUCAUACCUUCUAUCAUCAAUUUUCUUGGACGGGCCUUUGCUGUGUGUGUUGUGACAGUUGGCUAAAAGUUGCGGUUUAGUUCGUUUGCAACGGGAGAUUUUCUGCGUUGUCGGGAACAAAUUUCCGGAGAAUUCCGUCCAGAAUCGAUUGAAAAUAUUGAAAUUCCAGAUCAACGAAUGGUUUACCAGAUCAUGCAGCUCGAAAAGCUCGUUGGUUCGUUGGAGGAUUUACGGCAUAUUCAAUGCAACUGCAAAGGCGGGCCGCAGGCCGCGGGCUAGUGGAGAUCGAGUUCCGGCCGCAACGAAAAGUGCAGAAUGACGAGAUCGAGCCGGGUGUUCCAAAAUGACAAGGCCGGGUGUGCAAAACGACAAGGCCCCCGACGGCACCGUUUGCGAGAGCUGAAAGCUUCCAGAAGUGUUUUUUUUUGUGCCACGUGAUAAAUAAGUGUGUGAUGAUCAUGUUUGUGUUGUGAAUAAAACAGUUUUUGACCAAA